rnacentral:rRNA from 1 species
CCUACGGGUGGCAGCAGUGGGGGAUAUUGCACAAUGGGGGGAACCCUGAUGCAGCGACGCCGCGUGGGUGAAGAAGCGCCUCGGCGCGUAAAGCCCUGUCAUCAGGGAAGAAAAUGACGGUACCGGAAGAAGAAGCCCCGGCUAACUACGUGCCAGCAGCCGGGGUAAUACGGAGGGGGCGAGCGUUCUCCGGAUUUACUGGGGGGAACGGUGGCGCAGACGGCGAUGCAAGCCAGGAGUGAAAGCCCGGGGCCCAACCCCGGGACUGCUCUUGGAACUGAGUGGCUGGAGUGCAGGAGGGGCAGGCGGAAUUCCUGGUGUAGCGGUGAAAUGCGUAGAUAUCAGGAGGAACACCGGUGGCGAAGGCGGCCUGCUGGCCUGCAACUGACGUUGAGGCCCGAAAGCGUGGGGAGCAAACAGGAUUAGAUACCCGGGUAGUC